AGAGCGAACGCUGGCGGCAGGCUUAACACAUGCAAGUCGAGCGGGCGUAGCAAUACGUCAGCGGCAGACGGGUGAGUAACGCGUGGGAACAUACCUUUUGGUUCGGAACAACACAGGGAAACUUGUGCUAAUACCGGAUAAGCCCUUACGGGGAAAGAUUUAUCGCCGAAAGAUUGGCCCGCGUCUGAUUAGCUAGUUGGUGAGGUAACGGCUCACCAAGGCGACGAUCAGUAGCUGGUCUGAGAGGAUGAUCAGCCACAUUGGGACUGAGACACGGCCCAAACUCCUACGGGAGGCAGCAGUGGGAAUAUUGGACAAUGGGCGCAAGCCUGAUCCAGCCAUGCCGCGUGAGUGAUGAAGGCCCUAGGGUUGUAAAGCUCUUUUGUCAGGGACGAUAAUGACGGUACCUGAAGAAUAACGCCCGGACAAACUUCGUGCCAGCAGCCGC
rnacentral:rRNA from 1 species